CACUCCGUGUUACCCCACCACUCCAUGUUACCCCACCACUCCGUGUCACCCCACCCUCAACACAGCAGGGCCCACUGGGGGGAUGGGGACAGAUCUGAAGCCAGAGAGACAGAGGGUGGGCAACCCUGGGGCCCAGCCAGCCCAAGCCCCAGCUCUAGGUCUCUCACCUUAAACAUCACCUCCAGCAUUUGGGCUGUUGCCCGAGGCGCUUCCAUUAACCUGUAAUCAACGCCAGCGAAACUGUCGAUCUCUGUUGUGACUGUGAAACAGGACAGGAGUGGAAUUAGGAGCCAGGUGAUGGGGGAUCUGAUUGAUCUGCACUCUUGUGACUUUCUUCAUCCUCUGCCCCUUGGCCUCAAGGCCUUCUACCAGCCCAGCCCCGAAGCAAAGAGCUGCUUGCCCCAGAAAGGGACGACAUGGGUCUAUUGUCCCACUGGUGGAUUAGUUGUAAAGAGGACCGUGUGCUCAGCCUGGUGAGAAUCCUCCAACCAAGGAAAUUCUUCCCCAGUUUCCAACAGAGGCCUUGAUCUUCAAGAGAACUGGCCUCCUAUCAAUGUAAACCAAAUAACUGGGAAGGUCAGGCCAGGUCCACAGGGCCCGGAAACUCCCUUCCAAAGCCCAAGGGGAAUGAGAGUCCUAUGUCCCAUGCACUAGGUCCUCUGUGCCUGUCUGGGCCUUCACUGACAGUGAUGUCAACAGGAGACUGUAGAGCCUGAGGGCCAGGGCAUCAGAGAACACCUCAGACACAACCAGACGAUGGAAGACACCACAGCAAUGAAAAUGAAGUCUGUUGUAGCCACUUUGGAAAACUGGCAGGAUGUGACAAUGCCGAACCCACGUCUGCCAUGCCAGCCUGCAACUGCACUCCUAGAUACAAGAGAACAUCUCUGAGAGGGUACGCCCUAAACGGAGGUUACGUCUUGGAAGAAAACUGGGGGAGAAAAGAGGAUUUAAAAUGAUUACUUUCUACAUUUCUGUCCUGUGUAAUAUUUUAUAAGGUCAACGGUUCUACAAAAAUGGAUCAGCGCUUCCCACGUGCCAUGUAUCAGGAAACGGAAAUGAUCAAAAACAUGCAGGCCCCCACGUGGACCUCAGUAGGGCCCAACUGGAUCUUUCACAGUUGUUCCCGGGGUUGGACCUCUGAUCUGGGUGGUCAGCGACCCAGCCUGGGGAGGGGACAUCGGCUGGAGGCACUUUCUGAAAUUCUGCCAUGAAUGAUACUUUCCUUUGGGAGGUGUUGGCCUCCCAGAAUUUACAAUCAAAUAGCAGAACUAGACCGUCAGUAGAAAUAACCACACAAAUGGAUGCGUAAUUAGUAGAUACUUCACUCAACAAGUAGGUUGGACUGAUCAGUAUUCCAUUCCCCCUUUGUGGAAAAGGGAACGUAUGUUCCCAAACCGGUUUGCUAUACUUACUCUUGUAAUCACUCAAAUUAUUUAUUAAACCAAGGAAAUAUG